UUUUUUUUUUUUGCUUCCGCUGCUGUUUAUUGACAUUCAGGUGGGCACUAUAGCAACAGGCCUGGAGACGCUGCAGAGUACGAGGUGGAGAGUGGAACAUCUGCAGGGACAGCAGUGGAGUGCACGAGGAGGAGAGAGGCCAAAGCUGUUGGGAAAGCAAGUCAGGGACAGGGCCAAAAGGCUGGGAAUUCUCUGGAAAACUUUCUACAGGAGCAAAGAACACAGAGAUAAUGCUGCCCUUCUGUGAUAAAGUCAGAGGGUUUCCAAUCCUGCAUUCCUCCUUCACCCCUGGCUCAAGUAGGGCCAUGAAAAAUAGCUGGGCUCUAUUGCAUGUUUCAGAGGCAUUAAUUUUUCCUGGUGUCCCAGCCCACCAGCGCCACACUAUGGCCCAGAGUGAGCACUACAAGCAUUGCUGGCCUAAUGGAUAGGAUAGGGGAGGGGAAGGGACAGGGGCUAGAAGAGAAGCUCCAGAGGAUCAUCGUGGUACAGGCACUACACGCAUGGUGUUGGUGAAGCCAGAGCCAGGGCGCCAUCCGGUCAGCACAAUGACCACAUCUCCCUUCUUGAAGAAGCCUCGGGCCUUGCCAACAUUCAUGGCCAAGUUCACACGAAGAUCAACGUCCUCAGCCCAGGCAUCCAGUACGGCAUCCUUACACAGCACAGGGAAGAUGCCACGGUACAGAUGGGCCUGGCGGGCUGUCUGGGGAUUGCGUGUCACAGCAAUGAUAGGAGCCCUUGGGAGGUACCGGGCCACUUGGUGAGCACUCCUGCCAGACUUGGUGAGCACGAUAAUGGCCCCACUGCAGCACUUGAAGGAGGCCUCCACGGCACCCACGGCGGCAGCUUCUGUGGGGUCGCUGGUAAUGGGCGCCAGGCGGCGGAGUUCCUCGAAUAACUGCAAGUGGUAGAUGGCAGCCUCUGCCUCUCGGGCAAUCAGGUGCUGCAUGCGAACAGCCUCCAGAGGGUAGUCCCCUUUGGCUGUUACUCCGGACAGCAUGAUGCAGUCAGCUCCAUCUAGGACUGCAUUGGCCACGUCACUGCCUUCAGCACGGGUGGGGCGUGGCUUCUUGAUCAUGCUCUCCAGCAUCUGGUUGGCACAGAUGACCGGCUUCCCAGCUCGGUUGCAUCGUCCAAUCAUCAUCUUCUGAGCUAGGAAGACCUUCUCUGCCGGAAUCUCAAUGCCCAGGUCACCACGAGCUACCAUGAUUCCAUCGCUGGCCUCCAAAAUCUCAUCAAACCUGCGGACACCUUCAUGGUUCUCGAUUUUGCUGAUGAUCUUGAUGUUCUUGCCCUUCUCUCCCAGGACCUUCCUAACCUCAUGCACGUCAGCCGCCUUGCGGAUGAAAGACGCAAACACCAUGUCCACGUCCUGCUCCACCCCAAACUUCAGGUCCUGGAUGUCCUUUUCUGACACAGCAGGGAGGUCCACAGCAGCACCAGGCAGGUUCACGCCCUUCUUGCUGCCCAAGGAGCCACCAUUUUCCACUUCUGUCACCAGGUAGUCAGCACCUUUCUCCUUCACCUGCAGGGAGAUGAGCCCAUCGUCCACGUAGAUCUUGCUGCCCACCUCCACCACCUUGCAGAUGUUCUUAUAGUCCAGCCACAGGAUGUUCUCGUCGCACUUCUCCAUGUAGGCGUUGUCCAGGGUGAUCUUCAGUGUGGCUCCCUUCUUCAGCUCCACCUCUGCGGUGCCGCUGCCCUUGAUGAGUCCAGUCCGGAUCUCAGGUCCCUUUGUAUCCAGAGCCACCGCAACGGGUCGGUAGAGAAUGGGAUCAGAUGCAAAGCUUUCUGUGGCUGCACGGACAUUCUUGAUAGUCUCUGCAUGGUACUCAUGGGUUCCAUGAGAGAAAUUCAGCCGAGCCACAUUCAUCCCAGACUUAAUCAUCUCCUUCAGCAUCUCCACAGAUCGGGAAGCAGGGCCAAUGGUACAGAUGAUCCCAGUGUUGCGGGCCGUGAUGGGUGCGGAGUCAAUGUCCAGGCGGCACAUGUGUUCCAGGAAGGUGUCAGCCAUGGCUGCAUGGAGCUGCUGGGUCUGAAUGAAGGCAGUCCCUGCUUCGCUGUCUGGCUUGGGCAUGGUUUCUGAGAUCCUCGGGCGUACUUCAGAUCCUGUUGCAAUACCUAAAGAGGACGUCUGUCGACUUAGGACGGGUCGCUGCUG
ensembl:lncRNA